rnacentral:rRNA from 1 species
UGGGGAAUUUUGGACAAUGGGCGAAAGCCUGAUCCAGCAAUGCCGCGUGUGUGAAGAAGGCCUUCGGGUUGUAAAGCACUUUUGUCCGGAAAGAAAUCCUCUGGGUUAAUACCUCGGGGGGAUGACGGUACCGGAAGAAUAAGCACCGGCUAACUACGUGCCAGCAGCCGCGGUAAUACGUAGGGUGCAAGCGUUAAUCGGAAUUACUGGGCGUAAAGCGUGCGCAGGCGGUUUUGUAAGACGGAUGUGAAAUCCCCGGGGCUUAACCUGGGAACUGCAUUCGUGACUGCAAGGCUAGAGUAUGGCAGAGGGGGGUAGAAUUCCACGUGUAGCAGUGAAAUGCGUAGAGAUGUGGAGGAAUACCGAUGGCGAAGGCAGCCCCCUGGGCCAAUACUGACGCUCAUGCACGAAAGCGUGGGGAGCAAACAGGAUUAGAUACCCUGGUAGUCCACGCCCUAAAACGAUGUCAACUAGUUGUUGGGGAUUCAUUUCCUUAGUAACGUAGCUAACGCGUGAAGUUGACCGCCUGGGGAGUACGGUCGCAAGAUU